rnacentral:rRNA from 1 species
GCUCAGRACGAACGCUGGCGGCAUGCCUAACACAUGCAAGUCGAACGAGACCUUCGGGUCUAGUGGCGCACGGGUGCGUAACGCGUGGGAAUCUGCCCUUGGGUUCGGAAUAACAGUUGGAAACGACUGCUAAUACCGGAUGAUGACGUAAGUCCAAAGAUUUAUCGCCCAGGGAUGAGCCCGCGUAGGAUUAGCUAGUUGGUGGGGUAAAGGCCUACCAAGGCGACGAUCCUUAGCUGGUCUGAGAGGAUGAUCAGCCACACUGGGACUGAGACACGGCCCAGACUCCUACGGGAGGCAGCAGUGGGGAAUAUUGGACAAUGGGCGAAAGCCUGAUCCAGCAAUGCCGCGUGAGUGAUGAAGGCCUUAGGGUUGUAAAGCUCUUUUACCCGGGAKAUAAKACA